CAACUACUUCUAACCAAUUCCUAACAAGAUAAUUGACUAUCCCUAAUUAUAUUCCUAAAUAACAGAUAUUUAAAUUUGAACUUGUUUAUUUAAAGAGAAAAUUAUUAAAAUGAAAAGUUGGGGUCGCAUCAUCUCCUCCGUCCUCCAAAACAACCUUGCCCUCAAGGUUGGAAAUCCGGAAAUCGCUCCUGAAUUUUGUGCCAAGUUUCCCACGUGGCGUCUUCGAGUGGUAGNCUAUCCCUAAUUAUAUUCCUAAAUAACAGAUAUUUAAAUUUGAACUUGUUUAUUUAAAGAGAAAAUUAUUAAAAUGAAAAGUUGGGGUCGCAUCAUCUCCUCCGUCCUCCAAAAAGACAACCUUGCCCUCAAGGUUGGAAAUCCGGAAAUCGCUCCUGAAUUUUGUGCCAAGUUUCCCACGUGGCGUCUUCGAGUGGUAGAUGAGCCCACUGGACAAGUACCUUGGUAACAGCACGAUUCUUAUGUUUCUCCAUUCGGCGAUCGAGAAUAGCAAUAGGUUCAAUCUUUAGCACUCCAUCUGAGAUGUCUGGUAAUUGGGAUGCCACUAUGUCGUCGGAGCCUACCUUCUUCUUUAAGCAUGAGACAUGAAAAACUGGAUGAAUUUUUGAUCCGUGCGGUAACUCCAAUUUGUAGGCGACAGACCCAAUUCUCUCUAAAACUUUAUAUGGACCAUAAAAUCUUGGAGAAAGCUUGCGAUUGGCACGAAUAGUCACCGAAGCUUGUCGAUACGGUUGAAGCCUAAGAUACACCAUAUCACCAAUUUCAAACACCCGCUCUGUGCGAUGUUUGUCAGCUUGUUGCUUCAUUCGAACUUGGGCGGAUUCGAGAUUUUCCUUCAAAAGGCGCAAGAUUCUAUCCCGAUCUUGUAAUUCCACUUCGACAUGAUGAACAUUAGUAGUCCCGGUAAUAUACGAGAGUAGAGUAGGGGGUCGCUGACCAUAAACCGCCUCAUAUAGAGUUAUCUGAGUAGAAGAAUGGAAGGUAGUAUUGUACCACCAUUCCGCCCAAGGAAGCCAUUUGGUCCAAUCUUUAGGUCGUUGCCCUGAGAGGCAUCGGAGAUACGUCUCCAAACAUCGGUUGACUACCUUUGUUUGACCAUCCGAUUGAGGGUGAUAGGCUGAACUCAUGCAUAAUUUAGUUCCUUGAAGACGAAACAAUUCCUUCCAAAAAGCACUAGUGAAUAUCGGAUCACGAUCACUUACAAUUGAAGUUGGCAUACCAUGAAAUUUAAAAACAUGCUCGACAAACAAGUGUGCUAUUUGGGACGCAGUGUAUGGAUGAGCCACCGGAAUAAAAUGAGCAUACUUGGAGAGCCGGUCAACUACAACCAAUAUAGUACUCCUCCCCAAUGAAGUAGGUAACCCAUCAAUGAAGUCCAUCGAAAUGUCAGCCCAAAUACGCUCAGGAAUCGAUAGAGGUUGGAGAAGCCCAGGAGUGGGAAUUGUUUCGUUCUUGUUUCUUUGGCAGAUAUCGCAAGACGCAACAUGAUUCUUUAUGUCUUUCUUCAUCCUCUUCCAGUAGAAGGUCUUGAGAGCUCUCUUAUAUGUCUUACGAAACCCCGAAUGGCCUGCUUCUGGCGAAUCAUGAAGAUAAUGCAGAAUCUCCCUUCGCCAUUUAGAUUCAGGACCUAAAACCACCCGUUGUUUGUAGCGAAGAAGUCCUCCCUCAUAGGUAUAAUGAGGUAGACCUGAACUCUGGACUUGUCGAAUAAUGGCUUGUAAUGAUUCGUCUGCAGCCGUGUCAACCUUAAUUUGUUCCACCCAUGUUGGAGUAGGAUAGGAGAUCGCAAUUAACUCUGCCUCGUCCUGACGUGAUAAUGCAUCAGCAACAGAAUUAUCAACUCCCUUUUUAUAACGAAUUUCAUAAUCAUACCCGAGCAGUUUAGCGGUCCACUUCUGCUGCAUCUCUGAAGAAACCCUUUGCUCCAUCAAAUAUUUAAGACUACGAUGGUCGGUAUAGAUAAUGAAAUGCCGUCCUAACAAGUAUUGGCGCCACUUGUUGACCGCGUGCAAUAUCGCCAUCAUUUCCUUUUCGUACGUCGGGAGAGCACGAUGUUUUUCAGAAAGAGCCUUGCUAGUAAAGGCUAUUGGUCGACCUUCUUGCAUUAGAACACCACCAAUCCCAAUACCAGAAGCAUCA
rnacentral:lncRNA from 1 species